CUACGGGCCGCUGCAGUGGGGAAUAUUGGACAAUGGGCGCAAGCCUGAUCCAGCAAUGCCGCGUGAGUGAAGACGGCCUUAGGGUUGUAAAACUCUUUCGCUAGGGAAGAUAAUGACUGUACCUAGUAAAGAAGUCCCGGCUAACUCCGUGCCAGCAGGCGCGGUAAUACGGGGGGGACUAGCGUUGUUCGGAAUUACUGGGCGUAAAGAGUUCGUAGGCGGACUGACAAGUUAGAGGGGAAAUCCCAGGGCUCAACCCUGGAACUGCCUUUAAAACUGUCAGUCUAGAGACCGGAAGAGGUUAGGGGAAUACCGAGUGUAGAGGUGAAAUUCGUAGAGAUUAGGUGGAACACCAGUGGCGAAGGCGCCUAACUGGUCCGGUACUGACGCUGAGGAACGAAAGCGUGGGGAGCAAACAGGAUUAGAUACCCCUGUAGUC
rnacentral:rRNA from 1 species